GUCCGCAUCCCACCCGAGCUAUCAAGCCAAGGGCCACAUCCCACCCCGGCAAUCAAGCUAAGGUCCGCAUCCCACCAGAGCAAUCAAGCCAAGGGCCACAUCCCACCCCGGCAAUCAAGCUAAGGGCCGCAUCCCACCCGGGCAAUCAAGCCAAGGUCAACAUCCCACCCGGGCAAUCAAGCCAAGGUCAGCGAUCAUUAUCCCACCCGGGCAGUUAAGCCAAGGUCAGCAUCCCACCCGGACAGUCAAGCCAGGGUCAGCAACCCUCCCCAUUCCUCCGGGCUUGGGACCGGCUCUUAGUUGGGCUGGCUUGCCCCCCAAGAGGCUGGGUUAACAGUUUUGUUCCCCCUUUCUUCACCUCUUUCUACGUACAACAACUUUUGUUUUCCCAGUCUCCGUAAAAGAUGCAGUGGAAGGUUCACGGCACCUUCAGUUGUCUUUCAACAACUGUAAUUUCUUGUUUCUUUACUAACUUCAUCUGUUUCGUUAAUGACUUCCCUUUCCAACGUCUCCGCCUUCUUUUUUGAGGGUAAUUGUGUUUCUUCCUCAAAGUGUGUCCGCGAUUCGUCAUCACUCAACUAUACGUUGUUCUCCUUAGGAUCGUCAUCAAGGUUAUUGUAACGCAUAUAUUAAGGGCAUUUGGUGUUGGCGGCCUCUUCUGACCGCCUGCAGGGGCCGGGGACCUCCUCGGGGUCCCUCAGUAACUCCGUCCCUGCCGUGAGGGGGCCCAAUGCUUCCCCCUCGGCCCCCGCCCCCGGCCCUAGCAGGAAGACUGUUUGGCUCUUCACAAAAUGCCAAGACGAAG